UACGUAGGGCGCGAGCGUUAAUCGGAAUUACUGGGCGUAAAGCGUGCGCAGGCGGCUUCGCAAGUCAGGUGUGAAAUCCCCGGGCUUAACCUGGGAAUGGCGUCUGAAACUACGGAGCUGGAGUGUGGCAGAGGGAGGUAGAAUUCCACGUGUAGCGGUGAAAUGCGUAGAUAUGUGGAGGAAUACCGAUGGCGAAGGCGGCCUCCUGGGCCAACCCUGACGCUCAUGCACGAAAGCGUGGGGAGCAAACAGG
rnacentral:rRNA from 1 species